UCACCCCUCAAGCCCGGCUUGUUGUUGGACGCGGCGGAUCUGUAAAAAGUCUGCCCGUCUCAAAGAUAAUGACGGCGUCUGUGAGGACUCCUGUACACUGAGCUUUCGGGCACGUACUAGGUUGACACUCCAGACCGCCGGUCGUCGUCCCUCUCGGGACACUUAUAACCCCACAA
rnacentral:misc_RNA from 1 species